ACAUAUUUAUUUACUCCUGGGGAUGCAAAUCUAAUUUUGAUGCUGGGGUGUGGAUCACUGAUAGAAUGUUUGUCUAGCAUGCCUGAGUCCAUGUGUUCUAUACCCUACAUCAUUCGAGGGAAGGGAGGGAGGGAGGAGUGGAGGGGAGGAGGGAGAGAGGGGAGAUGAAGGAGGACCUCUGCUCUAUGGGUAUUGAGGCCUAUAACACCCCCAGAGCAGCAGAGAGGACUGGAAGAACUGGUGGAGAUGGAUAUGCCACUAGGGGGCAGAAAAGACUCAGACCCCCUGCCCCCUGUGCUGAGAUCUGUCUCUGCUAAACAUACUUGGGGGUGGGGGCAGAUAUUGUCAUAGCUAAAAGCAAAGUUACUGAAAGUCGUUACCCUAGGCUGCUAUGGUAAGCAGUGUUUCCAUGUAUAAAGGAGUCACCUGGGAUCUUGUCAAAUACAGAUGUCUCCCAGGUUUCCACGUAGGUUGGGGGUUACCAAGGAUGCUUUAAAGUGGUCAAGUUCUCAAGUAUCUCAGUGUAAAUCAUUGUCCUCUCUCUCUCUCUCUCUCUCUUCACCUCUCCUCUCCCUCUUCAUCAACUAUCAAUAAUUAUCUUUACUAUGAUUAUCUUACAUAACCAUUCAGGUAGAUCGGUAGCAACUGUGUAACUCACCCCAUGACAAAUAAAAUCCACGAUGCUGGUUGGUGGUCAUAGGUAAAAGGAAGGGACUCAGCACACUGACAUGGGCCUUUCUGAAAUGCAUUACUUCCUUGGAUACUGUGGACACUUAAGCGUGUCCUCUCCCUCUCUAGUGCCCGCCAAGGUCUAGGAGACAUUCCUAUGAGCCAAAGUAGGAGGAACCACACAGACCUGAACCAUCUAAAGCCCCGAAAACUCCAGAAUUGUCAAAAGCAGUCAUGGAUCUUUCUAGAUUCUGUCUACUCUUACAGAAGUCCUCAGCACAGAUUAGAAGCAGGCUGUGCUUGCAUAUCUUUGUUUCCUCUGUAUAUUGAACAAAUACUAAGUAAGUAGGCUUGAGACUACACAUUAGCAAGCUGUCAGGUCAGCCCCCAUGCACGUGCUUGUAUGCGUGUGUGUGUGUGUGUGUGUGUGUGUGCGCGUGUGCGCUUGUGUGUGCAUGUGUGAGUGCUUGUGUGUGUGUGUGUGUGUGUACAUGUCUUAGCAUGUGCACAGAAUUCAGAGAAGGACAUUGGCUGUUGAGCUUUGUGAGGCUCCCCCUUAUUCCCUGAGAUGCUCUCUCCCUGAGACUGAAGCUUUCCAUUUCAACUGGCCUGGCUGGGUUCACGGCUGGCUGAGAUUUCGUGGUCUCCAUCCUCCAACUCUCAGUUGGAGACACUCAGAUCCCAGCUUCUAUGUGGGUGCAGGGAAUUUGCCUGAACUCAGGUCCUCAUGCACACACAGCAAGCACUCUUACCCACUGGGACAUUUCCGUAGUCUUUCCAUAUCAUUUUUUAUCCCGUCUCCAAUAUACUUGUUUUUGGUGCAUAGAGAGGAGGGGAGGGGAAGCCCUAAGUGUUUGUUUUGCAGCCACAGAUGACAGUAAGUCCUCUUGCUUGAGGGUGUAAUUCUUUUUUCCUCUUUCCUUACAGCUGUGACCUAGUUAACUGUAGGUGGGAAUCAAACGCCCAAAUCAUCAGACUUUUGGCUUGGCUUAGGCUCUUGCUGUUAAGUGGUAGGAUGUCCUCCUUAAUGACAGGAAGUCGGGUCCCCUGAUCAGCAACAUUCGUGUUCUUUGUGCUCAGAGAUAAAGAACUGAGUGUAUAAGGCUGCGGUUUCCUUGUGGUCAGGGAAGAGAGGAAAGGGAUAGAUGAGUCCGUGACCCAUGGAUGAAUCACUCCUGCCUAAACAGUUGAAAUGUUCAUCUGAGUGUUCUGGCCUGGAGUCCUCCAGUCCAUGGGGACAAAGGAGAGAAUGACUCACUCACUGUCCUUUUAUGGCUACAUUGCUAAUGUUGAGCAUCCUAUAGACCAGAAUAUGAUAUCAUUAAGAAGCCACUU
rnacentral:lncRNA from 1 species